rnacentral:rRNA from 1 species
GACGAACGCUGGCGGCGUGCCUAAUACAUGCAAGUCGAGCGGACAGAAGGGAGCUUGCUCCCGGAAGUUAGCGGCGGACGGGUGAGUAACACGUGGGCAACCUACCCUGUAGAUCGGGAUAACAUCGAGAAAUCGGUGCUAAUACCGGAUAAUCAUUUGAAGUGCAUGCUUCGAAUGUAAAAGAUGGCUCCGGCUAUCACUACGGGAUGUGCCCGCGGCGCAUUAGCUAGUUGGUAAGGGAAUGGCUUACCAAGGCAACGAUGCGUAGCCGACCUGGGAGGGUGAUCAGCCACACUGGGACUAAGACACGGCCCAGACUCCUACGGGAGGCAGCAGUAGGGAAUCUUCCGCAAUGGACGAAAGUCUGACGGAGCAACGCCGCGUGAGUGAUGAAGGUUUUCGGAUCGUAAAGCUCUGUUGUUAGGGAAGAACAAGUGCCGUUUGAAUAAGGCGGCACCUUGACGGUACCUAACCAGAAAGCCACGGCUAACUACGUGCCAGCAGCCGCGGUAAAAC